AAUUGAACCUGAGACCUUUCAGUCCGCAGGCCGACGCUCUAUCCCCUGAGCCAACCCGGUUAGGGUGUACUGAUGGGUCUUUUAAGUGCAGGAAAACUGCCGGCCAAGAGGAGGAACGGGGCUCACUGGGGAGAACCCAGGCCGGCUCUAGUUCCUCACAACGGCCACCGGGAGGCGACAGACACGGGCUAAUAAAGGCAGAAGCCCCUGGGCUCUGCGCUCCUCCCCGCCACUUGGGUCCCGGGGCGCGGAGGGGCGGUCCCCACUGUAGGGCUCUGGUCUGGAAAACCAGGCUCUCAGUCCACCGAUCGCCUCGUCGUCGCGGGGCCCACGCAGCUCUUAGCCCUUAGCCCGCACCCACCCAGCAGCUCCUGUGGCUGGAAGCCAGCUCGCCCCUCCGCCUUCCUGGCAUCCCGCGCGCAGUGACCACACUUCCGCUGGCUAGGGAUCCAGAGCAAGUCUAGGUCGUUAAUUGCAGGAGUUAAUUAAUCACCGCGCAAUUAGCUUAUGUUUUCCCUGGUCCUAAGCCCGGCUGAUGAGUGCAGGAGGGACGAGGCACAGGAGCUUCCGCCUGAGUCACCCGGAGGCAGCGGCGCCCAGGAGGUCAGGGAAGGAGGCUACCCAGGCUUCUGCUGCGGAUGCAGAAGAGGGCCAGGCCCUGCGCCCAGGAAGACAAAAGAAAACCCGGGAGUUGGGCCCGGAAACCGGCAUCCUCCUCACCCGCCCUCUGCCAGCUGUUUGAGUGACCUUGGGCAAGGCAUUUAACCCUGGCGGAACCUGGUUUCUGCAGCUGCCUCCCUGACAUGUGUGCCCUGUUCUUGUUCUUCCUUGUUGGCCAGCCCUCCAGGGACAUGCACUCCAGCGCUGCAUUCAACCUGAUGGGCUCUGUCCACUGUUUGAUCCUGUUCCCCUUGUCAAAGGCUGGCUCCCUGCAAAUACCAUCAAAACAACCGGCUACUAAGACAAAACUGGGAACACACCAAAUGGUGAUGGCAAUGAUCUUCUCACACCCACACAGGAGGAGCGCGACAUCAUGCUACGUAACUGUAUUCAUCCGCUGAAGCCUGGCUGCGUUCAAUGUACUGUUUGUCUAUCAGCACUUCAAUACACUUCCUAAUCAUGCUGAUACUAGGGCUAAACCUAGCUCUUGGCUGGCGAAUCACCUCUUGAAUAAGGGCAUUAUGCCGAAGCACUUUUCGUGCUUUCAUGAUACGAACUAUAGCAGCUUGGAGACACAUUUUCCGGUCCUCAUCGACAGCACUUCUAGUUUGUUCCAUUUCCCGUGGUGUGUCUUUCUGCAUUGAUGGAGUAAUUUUAAAUGUUUUUCUUUUACUGCUGAAGUUCAUAUUUAAUGAAAAUGAAGAUUCUGCAUCAAUAGCUUCCUUUUCCGAAUCAUGGUUAAUCAUUUUUACAUCAAGUAACGAUUUGAUUGUUUUUGUCAGUUCCUUUUCAUUCAUCUGGGUGCUGUCUUGAAGCUCUUUAUAGCUGACAGUUUCACUGUUGUUGAAGGCUAGAAGAACUGCCAUUUGGUAUGUUGUAGCCAUGGCUACAUAUGGUUUGCCCAAAUAGUUCAUUUUAACUUCACCUGUGCAGGGGUAAUGUAACCAUGUAAGUUUCCUUCCACUGAAAUGCUGGCUGUAAAAUAAUUCAAACAUCUGUACACUUUUGUCCAAUUCCUGGGGAAUCACAAAUGUAGAUGAAGGAGCCUGAGUAAGAGGCCAUGCGCCAGCCUGUAGAACAUAUAUUUGAAAACUAAUUCCCAAAUCUAUUACUGUGUCUUGAUUUUUGAUAAAAUUGUUGAACUUA